rnacentral:rRNA from 1 species
UGCCAGCAGCCGCGGUAAUACGAAGGUGGCAACCGUUGCUCGGAUUCACUGGGCAUAAAGCGCGCGUAGGUGGCCCGACAAGUCAAUGGUGAAAGACCCCGGCCCAACCGGGGAAGUGCCGUUGAAACUGUCUUGCUUGAGGACGGGAGGGGAGAGUGGAACUCUUGGUGUAGCGGUGAAAUGCGUAGAUAUCAAGAGGAACGCCGGUGGCGAAAGCGACUCUCUGGACCGUUCCUGACACUGAGGCGCGAAAGAUAGGGGAGCAAACAGGAUUAGAUA